rnacentral:rRNA from 1 species
UGAGUACAAGAUGCUACGGCAUUGAAGCAGUCUAUGUCAUACUUCCAAGAAAAGCUUGCAAUGUCAUAAACAAAUAAUGCCUGUACCAUAACCGACACAGGUGGGUAGGUAGAGUAUACUAAGGGGCGCGAGAUAACUCUCUCUAAGGAACUCGGCAAAAUGACUCCGUAACUUCGGGAGAAGGAGUACCUUAUUUUAUAAGGUUGCAAUAACAAGGUCCAAGCAACUGUUUACCAAAAACACAGGUCUCCGCUAAGUCGUAAGACGAUGUAUGGGGGCUGACGCCUGCCCAGUGCCAGAAGGUUAAAGAAGUUGGUUAGCAUUAGCGAAGCUGAUAACUGAAGCCCUGGUGAACGGCGGCCGUAACAAUAACGGUCCUAAGGUAGCGAAAUUCCUUGUCGGGUAAGUUCCGACCCGCACGAAAGGCGUAAUGAUUUGGAUACUGUCUCGGAGAGGGGCUCGGUGAAAUAGACUUGUCUGUGAAGAUGCGGACUACCUGCACCUGGACAGAAAGACCCUAUGAAGCUUUACUGUAACUUGAGAUUGAAAUUGGACUUUAUUCGCGCAGUAUAGGUGGGAGACCUCGAAAGUAUUCUUGCGGGAAUAUUGGAGUCAUCAGUGAGAUACCACUCUUAUAAUGUUAGAUUUCUAACUUUGUAUCAUUAUCUGGUCAAAGAACAGUUUCAGGCGGGCAGUUUGACUGGGGCGGUCGCCUCCCAAAUGGUAACGGAGGCGCACAAAGGUUUCCUCUGAACGUGUAGAAAUCGUAUCUAGAGUGUAAAGGCAUAAGGAAGCUUGACUGUGAGACCUACAAGUCGAGCAGGGACGAAAGUCGGUCUUAGUGAUCUGACGGUGCUGAGUGGAAAGGCCGUCACUCAACGGAUAAAAGUUACUCUAAGGAUAACAGGCUGAUCUCCCCCAAGAGUUCACAUCGGCGGGGAGGUUUGGCACCUCGAUGUCGGCUCAUCGCAUCCUGGGGCGGUAGUACGUCCCAAGGGUUGGGCUGUUCGCCCAUGAAAGCGGUACGCGAGCUGGGUUCAGAACGUCGUGAGACAGUUCGGUCCAUAUCCGGUGUAGGCGUUAGAAUAUUGAGAGGAGCCUUCUUUAGUACGAGAGGACCGAGAAGGACAUACCUCUGGUGUACCAGUUAUCGUGCCAACGGUAAACGCUGGGUAGCUAUGUAUGGAGAGGAUAACCGCUGAAAGCAUCUAAGUGGGAAGCCCACCUCAAGAUAAG